AACGAACGCUGGCGGCAGGCUUAACACAUGCAAGUCGAGCGCCCCGCAAGGGGAGCGGCAGACGGGUGAGUAACGCGUGGGAAUCUACCCAUCCCUACGGAAUAGCUCCGGGAAACUGGAAUUAAUACCGUAUACGCCCUACGGGGGAAAGAUUUAUCGGGGAUGGAUGAGCCCGCGUUGGAUUAGCUAGUUGGUGGGGUAAAGGCCUACCAAGGCGACGAUCCAUAGCUGGUCUGAGAGGAUGAUCAGCCACAUUGGGACUGAGACACGGCCCAAACUCCUACGGGAGGCAGCAGUGGGGAAUAUUGGACAAUGGGGGCAACCCUGAUCCAGCCAUGCCGCGUGAGUGAUGAAGGCCUUAGGGUUGUAAAGCUCUUUCACCGGGGAAGAUAAUGACGGUACCCGGAGAAGAAGCCCCGGCUAACUUCGUGCCAGCCGCCGCCGUAAGAC
rnacentral:rRNA from 1 species